CCCAAACUUCCCCAAAAGCAGCCAGUGCGACUGGCCCAGCGGCUGCGGAUCAGGCAGCCCCAGAGCCAGCGCACCGGCCGCUGCAGAAGUCACGGAGCCUUAAUUAGAGCGAGUUCACAGCAAAACCAGAGAUUCUGAGAUAAAAUAACACUUUUCUCCUAAUUGCCGGUUUAUCAGUGUUUUUAUAUUACCUUUAAAUGUAACCUGCUUUAGUCACAAAGCUCGGUUGUCUUUCAUGUUUUUUUAAAAGAGUAAUAAAAAGCAUAUCACAGU